rnacentral:tRNA from 1 species
GAGGGUAUAGCUCAGUUGGUAGAGUGCUUGCCUUGCAUGCACAUAGGCCCUGGGUUCAGUCCCCAGCACACACA